AGUUAGACUUGUUGUAUGCACAGCCUGGGAGUAAGGGACCCUUAACAGCAGGAGGAAAAGGACAUGGGGGGUGGGGAGCAUCUCUAAACUCGCCUAAAUAUGCAUCUAGAAAAUCAAAUGCACAAAGCAGAGGCUGAGGGAUUGCUGACAGGGAAACCCAGGCCCAGAGUGGAGAGCUGGUUUGGUGGACAACGCCAGCUGUGAGAAAACUGCAGCACAGGGAGUAAACGCCCUGCCCAAAUUCCCACAAAAAGAGACAGAGAUCUUAAUCGCUACACUGUCCCAUGUGUCCACCCAGCUAAGAGGGACUCAACACCAGCAAACAGAGCAGCUGGCUCAGACCCAACCAUCAUGUGAAGAUGGCAGAUGAAACUGGGCAUCCCAGGACCACAUCCUUGGAUGACUCCUUGAGGGAGAGAGUCAGAAGAAAGUGUGACCAGAGACUUUGAGGAGGCAUGUGCAUGGGAAAUCAGGGAAGAUGUGAUGAUGGAGAAGAAAGAGCACAUUGAAUUAAGAAGAUUCUGCUUCCCACCAGCCAUGUGAUUGUAGACCAUCUAUUUCAGCUUUCCAAAACACCAUUAUAUGACCUGUACCACAGGGACUAUAUUAUGGGGAUUAAAUGAUAU
rnacentral:lncRNA from 1 species